rnacentral:lncRNA from 1 species
CCUUUCUCACUCUCAAAUCCAAGCAGCAUGGGAAACAUUUCAAGGUUUUCUGUUGCAACAUGAUUGUUUCUAAUGAUUCUGUUUCUUUUAAAGCCAAACAUCUUGUCACUUGACAUCAAAACAUUUUCUUCAGGACCUUGCAGAGACUUGUCCAACUGAUUCAUGAGAUGAAAAAUGUUUGCUAAGCAGUGUUGACCUUUUGUCGUUGACCUCCCCAUCAGAAGAACUGAGAAUGCACUUGUCGAAAUGAGCAGAGUCCUACCGCACACUGUCAUACAGACCUGUAAGACUGUUGAUGAAACUGCUGCUGGCCGUUCAGUAACAAUCCAUCACUGCAAGUGCCAACAUUGCAGGGAAUAAAAUGACCUACGAGCAGAGAGGUGA